AACGAACGCUGGCGGCGUGCCUAAGACAUGCAAGUCGUGCGGAAAGGCUCCUUCGGGAGUACUCGAGCGGCGCACGGGUGAGUAACACGUGGGUAAUCUACCUGAGGGUCUGGGAUAACUCCGGGAAACUGGGGGCUAAUACCGGAUGAGACCACGGCGUCCUCGGACGCAGCGGUCAAAGAUGGCCUCUCCUUGGAAGCUAUCGCCUACAGAUGAGCCCGCGUCCCAUUAGCUAGUUGGCGGGGUAACGGCCCACCAAGGCGACGAUGGGUAGCUGGUCUGAGAGGAUGAUCAGCCACACUGGAACUGAGACACGGUCCAGACUCCUACGGGAGGCAGCAGUCGGGAAUUUUGGGCAAUGGGCGAAAGCCUGACCCAGCAACGCCGCGUGAGGGAU
rnacentral:rRNA from 1 species